rnacentral:rRNA from 1 species
AUGUACUUCUUUGCUCUUCAGGUGAUCAUUGACUUCACUGCUUCCUGGUGCGGUCCUUGUCGUGUCAUAGCCCCAGUCUUUGCUGAGUACGCCAAGAAGUUCCCUGGCGCCAUCUUCCUGAAGGUGGACGUUGACGAGCUGAAGGAUGUCGCUGAAGCAUACAACGUUGAGGCAAUGCCAACCUUCCUGUUUAUCAAGGACGGUGCGAAGGUGGACACUGUUGUUGGUGGCAGGAAGGAUGAUAUCCAUACCAAGAUAGUGGCCCUCAUGGGUUCUGCAUCUGCCUAA